CUUCCAGUAGCAUCUUAGAGACCAACUAAGUUUGUUAUUGGUAUGAGCUUUUGUGUGCAUGCACACUUCUUCAGAUAAAAACUUAGUUGGUCUCUAAGGUGCUACUGGAAG